GCCUCCGCGGUCGCCGCCGCGUGCGCCGCCUCUUUCGCUUUGAGCAUCUUCCAGUUAUCCGCCGCGUGGGAUUUCAAAGCCUGAGCCUCCUCUUCCAGCGCGUCGCAUCGCCUCCGAAGCCCCUCGGCCAUCUCGCGCGCCUCCGCGAGGUCCUCCCCCGCCGCUCUCGCCGCGGACGACGCAGCCUCUAACGCUGCGCGCGAGUCCUCCGCUUUCGCCGCGACCGCCGCGGCCUCCACCGCGCUCGCGAGCUGCUUCCGGAGGUGGAGUUGAAAGGCGUCAGAAGCGGAGUUGAAAGGCGUCGAGGCGUGUCGGAAUUGAAACCGUGUUGUGGGCGGAGAGACACGCCGGGAGAGAAAGUCCUUAAGAAACGGCGUUCACCACGCGAACGCGAUCGUAUGGGGACCAGUGUGAAGGAGAACGCGCCUGCUUCCGGAGGUCCGCGAUGGUCGACUCGGAAGCCGCGCGCGCGUUUUGUUUCGCGAGCAACAGCCGCCAGCGUUCCGCGGCGAGCGCUUUCGACUUGGCCUCCGCGUCCGCGCUCGCCGCCGCGAGCGCCUUGGCGCCCGCGGCUUCUUUCUCCAGCGCCGCGUUCAGGUCCUCGAGCUGCGCCAGCCUCUCGUCCGCCGCCGCCAGCGCGCGUUCGCGUUCGAUCUCUUUCGCCUCGUCGUCCGCGGAGGGCGCGGUUUUCGUCGCCGUCGUCGCCGUCGCGAGUCGCUCCCUUAACUCCGCAAUCUCCGCCACC
rnacentral:lncRNA from 1 species